CUUAUCCUCUGUCUCGUGAGCCUCGUCUCCUCCCCUUCCCUCCUCGCUCCCUCCACUGGCCGCCAGCCGCCGCCACUCCCUCGCUCCUAGGUCAGGCCGAGAUGUCGCUAUUGCCUGGGAACCGCACGCCGCAGCUCCUCUCCUGCGCCCUCUUCUUCCCGGGCGACCGACGGCGCAGCUCAUCCUCCGCUGGCUCGUCUUCGUCGUUUUCAGCAGCUGGCCGAGCUGCUUUGCAACCGUCCUCUCCACCCCUUCUCCUCCCCGUCGCCAUGGGUUCUCGAGGUGGUGUGGAAAAGGCUGCAGCGAAGCAGCAGCGCCGUGCGCAGCUCUGAUGGCCAGCACAGCCAACGCUGCUGCCGUGCCACCGCCCUCAUCGUCAAGAACAAGUCCAUCUGCAGGCCUAGAUUCGUUGAGACAGAGCUACAGAUGCUAAUAAUGGUGGUGUUAAGAUGAGGAUCCGAGGUUCCCCUCUCCCACGUCAAAUCCCCUUUUUGUAUUGAGCUUGGUCUGAAUUACUCUGUGUGUGCAAAAGAAAUAUCAAUGGUAAUUAGUUUUACACUGAAAAAACAAGACAACCAAUGUAUGAACUUUUCAGUCUUUUAUAUUUGCAGAUUAGUGCCUUAAAAAAAACCAUCUCCACUAACAUGUGUGUGUGUGGCCUAGGAAGGAAUAGUACCAUGGCGGCUCGCUGGAGCGACAAGGUUGCCAUGGCUGCUCCUCCGUAUAAAGCUUUCAUUAGAAGAGUUGAACAGAGGCAAGGGAUAACAUCAGUAGGUCGGCUUGCUUUGAGAUUAAUAGUGCCGACGGAGAUGUUAUUUGGUAAGCUUCAUAUAAGUUUUUUUUGUACUAUUCAACUAUAUGAUAACCGAACAGAAAGGCGCUUGUUUAUAUUCUUCUCCAAUAUUUCUAGGAAUUGCUUUGUGUGCAAUUAAUUAUCAGAUGCCCCUGCGCCUACAGA